GACGAACGCUGGCGGCGUGCUUAACACAUGCAAGUCGAACGGAAAGGCCCUGCUUUUGUGGGGUGCUCGAGUGGCGAACGGGUGAGUAACACGUGAGUAACCUGCCCUUGACUUUGGGAUAACUUCAGGAAACUGGGGCUAAUACCGGAUAGGAGCUCCUGCUGCAUGGUGGGGGUUGGAAAGUUUCGGCGGUUGGGGAUGGACUCGCGGCUUAUCAGCUUGUUGGUGGGGUAGUGGCUUACCAAGGCUUUGACGGGUAGCCGGCCUGUGAGGGUGACCGGCCACAUUGGGACUGAGAUACGGCCCAGACUCCUACGGGACGCAGCAGUGGGGAAUAUUGCACAGUGGGCGGAAGCCUGAUGCAGCAACGCCGCGUGCGGGAUGACGGCCUUCGGGUUGUAAACCGCUUUCGCCUGUGACGAAGCGUGAGUGACGGUAAUGGGUAAAGAAGCACCGGCUAACUACGUG
rnacentral:rRNA from 1 species